rnacentral:lncRNA from 1 species
CCUAGGCCGCUGGACGCCGACGGCUGCCGAUACAGCUGCAGGUCGGGUGCCUGGAUACGGCGUAAUCACCAAUAUCAUCAACGGCGGGCUCGAGUGCGGCAUGGGCCAGAACGACGCCAACGUCGACCGCAUCGGCUACUACACGCGCUACUGCGGCAUGCUUGGCACGGCCACCGGAGGCAACCUCGACUGCUACACCCAGCGAAACUUCGCUAGCUAGACACUAUGGAUAGUGUAUGCACGUGUUACGAAUAAAGGGCUACACUCAUGAAUAAGGGGCAACACAUAUCCCAUCAUGAAAUAAAUAAUUCGAUAUGUGAUCCAGUUGAUCGUGUCGUAUGAUAAUACGAGUAAGUUGUUGUAACAAAUUAUGUAAAUUGUUCAAUAAAAUCAUAUCAUUACAACUGGUUUUUUAAAUAUGGUACACUAAAAAUAAUCCACAUACACGAGUAUACACUCAUCUCUAUAAAGAUACGCAUGCAUAUCCUAUUCUAUCCAUAUGAGCACCUUCGAAAGACUGGCCCAACACAUCAUCUUGAUAUUGACAAAGUCAUCACAUAUACCUUCAUAGUCGACGGAAAUGUCUCUUCUCACUAAACGCACAUGGUUGAAAACCAGAAAUAAAUGAAGAAAAAUAGGAACACUAAUGUCAUGUAUGGACUUGAACUCUAGUGAAUAUACAUAUCACUCUCUUUCUAACCAUCAAAGCACAGAUUGGUAUCAUUGUUUUAUUUUGUUGUAUGUGAGAGGAUGUAUAGCAGACCAACUAACGUGACAAAUAUUUUACUUGUUUAAUCAGUUCUUCAUAACAAAAAGGAAAGAAAAGUCAGGAUUUAUGAAAUGAAUGAGGCUAACGCGUGUUUCGUUGCAUCGGUCUUCACUCGUUUUUUUAGAAAAGGAGGAUGAUCCCCGGCCUCUGCAUCUGGAAGAUGCAUGCGGUCAUUUUAUUGAUUAUUCUCGAGGACCUUACAAAGCAGUACAACAAUAUGCCUGAAUCCGCCAUCUUGGCAACAUCUGCCGCUACUCCUAUCCAUAUGAUGAAGGGGUGCAAGCUGGACCAAAUACCCAGACCUCUCACCUAAGCCUAACAUCUAAAGCCGGAUACCCUGACCGAGCCACAUACCGGGUCCGGGGCACAAACCGGUCCGACGCACUCACAUGUGUCGUCGCCGCCAUCUUCCAUUGCUCCAUCUUCAGAUCAGAUUGAGGUACCAGCCUUGGCAGGUGCCUCCUCCAUCGACGCCAUCAUGAUGCCAAACGACGACAUCCACCAACGCGAGUCCAUCUCCAAGCAACUGACGAAGAUCCAUGCUAGGAUAGGGCCGCAUCACCGCCGUCGCCCACCACCCACAAGCGCCACCCAGCCCCAAGGUUCCCAAAGCGACGCCUUCAAGAAGGGAACGGCGCCGUGAGCGCCGCCGCCGCCCAACAAAGUUAGGGCUUUCGCCGGGAGACCUAGGGGAAGGGGAAGUGAGGGGAUCAGUCCAUACCAACGCCUCCAAGGAGGGGAACGACGCCCUCGGGCGUCGCCGUCGACGCGGCCGGCCAUGGCCGACCAGGGAUUUCGCCCGACCUAGAUCCCCACCACCAGCAGCACCUCCUGUACAAAACCGGCAAUCCAAGGAAGCGCGGCCCGACCAGGCUGGCCCACACGCCGAACAGGGAAGGAGGGGAGGCGCUAGAUCGCGCGCACCGGCCACCGCAAAAGCCGCCACCAGACGUCAGCGACCACCGGAUCCCGCCGCCCGCGUGGCCGAGACGCCGGAUCCACCUCCCGCACGGCUGCUAGCCUACCGUGCCUCGCCAAUGAAGCCGCCGUUCCAGAUCCGGAACUCCACAUGCAGAGGCAGGGUAACCUAGGCCCCGCCGCCACCAUCCUUGGCGCCCCGGGCUUGCCCGGCGGCUGCCUCAGGCGGCGGCGAGGAAGGGAUGGGGAGGGGGAGGCGGCUAGGGUUGGGAUGGAGGGAGCGUGGGAUUAACUUUAUAUAUAUAUCAGUUUACUGCAGACAGUUGUUUGAUUUUGGCUUUAUCAGUUGUCUUGAGUUUUAGUUAUAUUUUGGUGGUGGUUUUUUCCUUUCAUAUAUUUUGUUGGCUUUUGUUGAAAAUGAUUUUUUUAGAUGAGAUUAGAGUUGUUCGAUGUGGGGUUUUGGGGUCUUCAAACCUUUCGGCCUUGGAGUCAGCCGAGGAUGGUUUCAUGAGCCCUUUGGGAGCUCUCAUUCCAUACUAAAAUUGUAGAAUCGCUCCUAAGAGCAUCUCUAAUAGGGCAGCCUCUUUUCAAUUAUAGGGCAGGCAAAAUCGAGAUAUAGGACAGCAAAACAACAGUCGUUUUACCAGCAGCCCAAGAUAGGGCAGCACCCGCCCCAGCAGCCACUACUAAGAAAAGGGCUAUAGAUGAUAUAGAUAUUAAUGCCGCACCACACAAGCCGUGCGCCACUACUAUAUAAUAAUGGCGUACCAUGUGAGGUGUGCCAUUAGUGUGGUGGAUAUUAAUGGCGCACCACACUCUCGGUGCGCCACUACUAUAUAUAUAUAUAUAUAUAUUUUUGCAAAACUACUAAUGGUGCACCAGCACCUGGUGCGCCAUUAGUAACCUGGUUACUAAUGGCACAUAUGUUAGUAGUGCGCCACUACUAUAAAAAAAAUUGGUUUUUUUUUGCAAACUACAAAUGGCGCACCAAAGCUAGUGCGUCAUUAGUAAGCAGUGUUACUAAUGGCGCAUCUAUUGGUGGUGCACCACUACUAUUUUUUUUACAGAACUACUAAUGGUGCACCAGAGGAGGUGCGUCAUUAGUAACCAGGGUUACUAAUGGCGCAUAUGUAGGUGGUGCGCCAUUAGUAACCUGGGACCAGCUAGAUAUUUUGGACAACCACCUACCACACUCACUUUCCCCACUUUCAUUCUCUCCACCUCCUCCUCCAAGCUUGUCUCAGGUGCCUCCUCCUCCUCACCUCAUUUGCAUCAUAGAUUCACCCAAAUUAAGUGGUUAAAUUACCUUUUUUUGAUAGGUAAGUAAGGGGAAAGCUUUUAUGUUGUAGAUCUACUUUUUUCUCCCUCCAACAACGUGCACAUGCACUUUUUAUGGCCUAGCUAGAUCUACGUAUGUUUGUUGUGUUGCAUAUGUUUGUGGUGUUGCAUAUUUGUUUGUGUUUGCAGGUACCGGUAUUUGAAAUGCGAUAGUUGCCAAUAUUUUCCCGGAAUGUUGAUUCAUUUCCGUUUCGGUGAGAAUUUGGCACUAUGCAUUCUUUUUUGUCCUAUUUUUAGGCAAAGUCAUGCCAAAAAAAAAUUUUGGUUAUAAAAUAUCAUUUUGCUUUACCCCGCACGCGACCAUGGUCCGCACGAUGACCGAAGGCAUCGUGAAUAGGUUUUUGAGCUCCGCGAAGGCCGAGAUGCUUCAAAAGAACGAGACGAAGAUAAGAUGUCCGUGUCGAAGAUGCAAGCUGAAGAGCCUUAUGGACCCGGAUUCCGUAAAGGUGCGGGACCACCUGCUCUUGCGUGGUUUCAUGGAUGGCUAUCGGUGGCAAGGUGAUGAAGAUGAUUAUGAAGUCGUCCAUGGGGGCCGGGAAAGAAAUGAGGAAGGGCAUGAGCAAGACAACCGCGGCGAGGGCGGGCGAGAAGACGAAGAAUCUCCAGGACACAGUCAUCAUGUAGAAGAUGCCGGACAUGAUGAUGAGGAAGAUGCCGGAGCAGACGAAGGGCAUGAUCAUGAAGAUGAAGAUGCCGGAGCAGACGACGAUGGACCAUCCAUGCCCUGGGUGCAGGACCCUCAUAUUCAAGAGCUGCUUCUCAAGCAGACGGAUAACGCAAGAGCUGCCGCCCGAGAGAAAGCCAAGCUGGAUCAACUUGAGAUAGACGCGGUUACUCCAUUGUAUGAAGGAUGCAGGCCCGAGGAUACCCGCCUGAAAGUAAUGCUCAUGGCUCUGGAGAUGAAGGUAAAACACAAAAUGACCGACGCAUGCUUCGACGAGAACAUGUCAUUCUGGCACGAACGUCUUCCCAAGGGGAACAACUGCCCGACCAGUUUCGAGGAGGCAAAGAAAAUCGUGUGUCCUCUGGAUUUACCGCACGUGAAAUACCAUGUGUGCAUGAACAAUUGCAUCAUUUAUCGGGACGAGCACGCGGAGUCUACCAUAUGUCCGGUGUGCAGCGUCAGUCGAUACAAGAAGAGGAAGAAAGCUCCUCAAAAAGUGGUGUGGUACUUUCAUAUCACUCCUCGUCUGCAACGGUAUUUCGCGGACCCUAAGGUAGCAAAGCUCCUGCGUUGGCACGCGGAUAGGGAGGAGAAAAAGCGAGAAGAUGACGGAAAUGAUCCGGAGAUAAAUAAAAAAGACAAGAUGCUGAGUCACCCUAAGGAUGCGAGCCAGUGGCAAGCGUUGAACUACGAAUACCCAGAAUUUGGGGACGAUCCAGGGAACAUCGUGCUGGGCGCGAGCACCGAUGGAGUCAAUCCGUUUGGCAGCCAGAAAAUCACACAUAGCACCUGGCCUGUGUUUGUGUGGAUGUACAACCUUCCCCCUGGUUGUGCACGAAGAGGAAGUACAUUCACAUGAGUAUGCUAAUUGAAGGGCCUAAACAACCAGGGAACGACAUCAAUCUAUAUCUGGGGCUGUUGAAAGAGGAGCUAGACACGCUGUGGAAAACGCGAGCCAAUACGUGGGACGCCGCAGAGAAAGAAUAUUUCCCUAUGAGAGCCGCACUGCUCCCGACGGUGCACGACUAUCUCGGUUAUGGAUAUGUCGCGGGGCAGGUGGUCCACGGGUUUUCUGGAUGCGUCAGGUGCAUGGAUGACACAAUGUAUCGCCAGCUAGAUAGAGAUCCCGGGUCUUCAAAAACCGUGUUCAUGGGACCUCGAAGGUGGCUUCGCAACGAUGACACAUGGAGAAAACGCAAGGAUCUGUUCGAUGGUGAAACCGAACCCCGAAGACGCCCCCUUAUGAGGAGCGGCGAGGAAAUAUACGAGCUGUUGAAAAAUUGGAAAAAGUGCCCACCGCCGGGAAAGGCGCUAGAGCCGGGAAAGAAGCGAAAGGCGCUAGAGCCGCUCCUGAAGGUAUGGAAAACGAGGUCUGUUUUCUGGGACUUGCCGUACUGGAAGAUCCUCCGUGUGCCUCACAGCCUUGAUGUCAUGCAUAUCAUGAAGAACGUGUGCAAGAGUCUGCUUGGUACCCUGCUCAACAUGCCAGAGAGGACCAAAGAUGGACCGAAAGCAAGGGCAGACUUGAAAUCAAUGGGCAUCAGGGAGGAGCUUCAUGCUAAUAAUGAUGAUGAUGAUGAUGAUGAGGCGAAGCAGGACACGGAAAGUCGUCGCAAAGGCAAAAAGUACAAGAAGACCGGAAAUGACUUUCCUCCCGCGUGCUUCACUCUAAGUCAGGAGGAGAUCGAUCAGUUUUUCACCUGCCUCAUAGGAGUAAAACUUCCUUACGGUUACGCGGGGAAGAUAAGCAGAUACCUAGACUCAGCGAAGCAGAAGUUUAGCGGGAUGAAGUAUCACAACUGUCACGUGCUGAUGACGCAGAUACUUCCAGUUGCAAUCCGUGGGAUCAUGGACGCGCACGUCCGUGAAAUGCUUUUUGACCUAUGCAACUUUUUCGACGUCAUCUCUCGGAAGUCGGUUGGCGUGAGGCAACUCAGAAGGCUACAGGAAGAGAUCGUGGUGAUACUAUGCGAGCUUGAGAUGUACUUCCCGCCCGCAUUCUUCGACGUUAUGGUGCAUCUGCUGGUCCAUAUCGUGGAGGAUAUCAUCCAACUCGGGCCGACGUUCCUGCACAUCAUGAUGCCGUUCGAAAGGAUGAAUGGUGUCAUCAAAGGAUACGUCCGCAACAUGUCACGUCCAGAGGGAAGCAUAGCCAGGGGCUUUCUGACCGAAGAGUGCAUCUCCUACUGCACGAAUUAUCUAGGCAUCGAGAACCUCGUUGGUCUGCCCGUCAACAGGCACCUCGGCAGGCUCGCAGGAUGGGGUCACCGUGAGGGUCGCCGCGAAAUGCAUGUCGACUUCGAGGGUCGACUCGCCGACUUUGAAAGAGCAAACCUAGUCGCGCUACAACACAUAGACGUGGUCGAUCCUUGGGUCGUAGAGCACAAAACCUUUAUUGAAAAGACGUACAAUGACCGAGGCCAACAGAGGACGGACGGAGAUAUAAUCAAAGAGCACAACUCAUGUUUAACGCGUUGGUUCAAGCAGAAGCUUUUGUCGUAGCCUUUACAUGAGGAUUCUUCCGCGGAAGAACAACUCAUAUUCGCCUUGUCACAGGGCGCCGAGCACAACCUGAUGAUGUAUGAGGCGUACGAUACCAACAGCUACACAUUCUACACCGAGGGAAAGGACAUGAAGAGCGAUGGUUAUCAGAACUCCGGGGUAACGAUGGAAUCCUACACCGGUAACGACAAGGACAGAUACUACGGAAGGAUCGAGGAGAUCUGGGAGCUGAGCUGCGCUGGAGAGAAGGUCCCGAUGUUCCGUGUCAGAUGGGCCAAGAGCGUCAUAAAAGAAGACCGGUAUUUCACCACCAUGGUUAUACCCGAAGCCAAAUCCAAGACCGCGGGCGCAAAAGUCACCGCGAAAAAUGAGCCAUGGGUACUGGCUUCCCAAGUGGACCAAUGCUUCUUCAUUACCGACCCGCCAAAGCCCAGUCGUGUUGUCGUGAGGAGAGGCAAAAGGAAGAUCAUCGGAAUGGAUGGAGUCGCCAAUGAGCAAGACUUCGACAAGUACGGCGACCCGAAGAUGGAACAUGACGACGAUGAUGAAGUACCAGCAUACACCACAAGAAGAAGCAGGACCACCCUACCUAAAGGACGUCCGUUCAAGAGAAGAACUCCAUUUACGAAAAAUAAGGGCAAGAAGAUUGUGAACAAAUAGCUAGCUAAGAUCGAUUAUAUUUAAAUUUGAUGAUAUUUUUUCAUAUUCAAUAUGAAAAAAUAUUGAAUAUUCAUGAGGACACUCGAUCUCGAUCCCCUCCAUCUCGAUCGCUAUCACCCCUCGCAAGAUCCCCCUCGCCGCCGAGCACCCCCCGCACCCUCCCCCGCUCCACCACCGUCGCCGUCGGCAUACUUACCACUAGAACACCUAUUCAGAAGAUACUAGGCACUUCUCAAAAAAAUACUAGGCACUUCUCAAACCAAGGUGCAACCAGCACAAGAAAACAAUGCAAAAAAAAUAAAAAUACUAGGCACUAGAUGUUGUUGUGAGGCACUAGAUAUUCAUAGGCAUCUAAUUGCAAACAUAAAAAAAAAUACUAGACAUCUACUUGCAAACAUAAAAAAAUUUACUAGGCACUUCUCAAACCAAGGUGCAACCAGCACAAGAAAACAAUGCAUAGAAAAAAAGGAAAAAAGAGAGGGGGGAAGAGGAUUCGAACCCGCAACCUCCUGCUAGGAGGCAAAACCCACGGACCACUGUGCUGCUACUUCGGAGGUUAACAACAUAGAGAAGGCGCACCUCAUAUACAUGCGCCAUUACUACAUAAAAAAACAUUCUAAUGGCGCACCGCUCGGGGUGCGCCAUUCCUAAGCCGGGCCGCGCCCUCCUCUCUUCUCCCGCGGCCUCCCCCUACCCCUUUCCACCAAACAGCAGCUCCCCCACCUUCGUCCACGCAGCCCACGGAGCUCUGGCGGCGCUAGGGUUUUCUCCGCCUCUGCCUCCGCCUCAGAUAGCCGAGGUGCGAAAUAUUAUCAGCCCCAACACACUCAAGAAGGUGGUCUCUGAGCAGAUGAACUGGAUCCCAUUACAUCAGCAGAAGAAGGGAUGAAAAAGAAAGACUAACAAGGGUGCGAGCCAGCCGGCACUGAGUACGAUCCGUGCUCUGGACGGGCCACCUUCACCUAAGGAUAUCUCGAGGAGGGUGCAUGUGGCGGGUAGGCCGAUGCUACCGACUAAUCUACUCAAUGCUGCAACUGGUGCUAUGCGGAGUCUGCAUGACAGUGUUCUUUGUUUGGAGAAGCGGCGUCUCUCCGAGAAUAAUGUGGCAUACCCGGUUUUCGUGGCCAAGGUGCCAGAGGGCAAGGGCUUUGUCGAUAGGCCAUCGGGGGUAUGAUCGUCCUGCGGUUUGUUGACAUCUUCGCUAUGUUUAACCUUCAUCCGCUGCACUACACCUUCGUUCGGCUAUUUUCGCUGAGUAUGGAGAUGCGGAUCAUUAGAGACAAGACCCCGAACCUAGUGAUAGUCGACCCCUUCUAUAUGCGUGCCAAGAUCUUGGGCAGCGCUGGGGACCGGCAAGUCACGAGUUCAUACCUCGAAGGCGUCAUUCUGGCAAACUCAGAAAAGGAUAACUUCCUCGUGCCUUACUUUCCCUGGUAAGUUAUCCCCUCAUCGCCACGUAACAUAUGAUUUCUUAGAUUUUGAUCGUCCUUUUUUUCUAACAUUCCGUGUUUUGUGCAGUGACACACGUUGCACACUCAUCCUCUUAAGUCUGAAAUAUUCCACGGCCACGUAUUUCGACUCGGACCGUCAGUCAAAAAAAGACUACACAAAUAUCAAGAAAGUUCUUGAUGAAGCUCUUCCCGGCUAUGCCAUAUCUGGAGGCACCUUCAGCAGGACAAGUCUCAGGCACGGCAAGCACGUGUUCACCCACAAUACGACGUUCGCCUGCGUCAAGCAGCCGCCUGGCAGUCAGAAGGAUGCCUACUACGCCCUCCAUCACAUGCGGGCGAUCAUACGGGAUAGUAAUCACCUUCGGCUACCAAAUAAUCUCAAAUAUUGGGCCGCACACUUGUCGGCAAUCCAGGAUGCGGACAUCAGACAAGAAUUCUUUCGCAUCCAGUCGGAGUUUGCAGAAAUCAUCCAUCAAGAUGUCCUUCGUACCUCGGGGCAGUUCUACCUCAGAUCUCCGCUGUCCUAUACUGAGAUAGAUACAAUGCUACAAAUGCAGGCUGACAACGACCGCAAUUUCAUGACCAUCACGAAAGAUGGCGGCUUCAUCCACGUUCCCGUGAAUCGCUACUAAUUCAUGUUGCAAUAUUAAACUUUAAUGAACUGGUAUGUCUCUUUGGUUUGGACAGUCGUUCAACUUAUAUAUAAUCGAUGCUAUUUAUUAGUAGGACCAUGAAUCGUGCUGUUAUAGUUGUAAUAUUAAACUUUAAUGAACUUGUAUGUCUCUGUGAAUUGCUACUAACGUUUUGUUUGGCUAGUGCAUAGAGAUGCCGUCGUAUGUCGUGUACAAGGGUAAGGUUCCCGGAGUCUACGACGACUGGGAGGAGUGUCGGAGACAGGUUCACCGAUUCAGCGGUAACAGUUACAAUGGGUACACCACAAGGGCGGAGGCGGAAGUUAGAUACGCGCGCUAUCUACGGGAGAGAGGAGGGAGCGUUGGAGGAACCGGAUGAAGACCAGUUUCAUUGCGAUUAUGCUCAUCGUGAUGACCGCAUCUCUCUUCUAUAUGUGAUGGUAGUUUAGAUGGUCGAUAUAUCAACUUGUAAUGUGAAGACAAAUUCGCUGCUCGCGGUCUCGAGACUUGUAGUAUUCUAACUUUUUUCGGUAUUUUAAAUUCGGAGACUAAUAUGAUGAAUUGUAUUCGGAGACUAAUCUUCUAUUGUAUUCGAUAAAUCUGUUGUUUAUAUGUUGUGCUAUCCAUAUUCUGUGCAAUAAUAUAUUUUGUAAUAUGUGCAAAUAUCAGAAAAAAUAAAAUAAAUACCUAAUAUUCAUACUAGUGACGCAUCACUCAGCACACUAGUGCGCCAUUAGUAAGCGAGAGCAUAUGGGUAAAUAUGGCCCUGGGAGGCAUACUAAUGGCGCACCACAAGCUAUACUAAUGGCGCACCAGGAUAUAUACUAAUGGCGCACCAGUAUCUAUACUAAUGGCGCACCGUGAGCAAUACUAAUGGCGCACCGUGAGCAAUACUAAUGGCGCACCGUGAGCAAUACUAAUGACGCACCGUGAGCAAUACUAAUGGCGCACUACCUGGUGCGUCAUUAGUAUACCAGAUACUAAUGGCGCACUUGUAAUGCGCCAUUAGUAAAAAAAUCUAAUGGCGUGAUGCUAGUGGCGCACCUAUAGUGCGCCAUUAGUAGCAAAAAAUGGUGCGCCAUUAGAAGGCCUUUUCCUAGUAGUGAGCUGCCCUCCAUGCUUGGGCUUCUUCCUCUUGUGCAAAAGCAAAAUCAAAGCAAUGUCUUCUUCAUCCUCCAAAUCGUAUUCCCCAUCGGAUGAAUCCUCAAUCAAAACCAUCUACAAACAAACUAGACCGUAUUAAAAAGUGUAAUCCUAAACUACAAACACAAAAAGCAAACAAAAAGUUGAAUACACAUUACCUCGAACACCUUGCGGGCGGCCGAACCGGUGGGUGGCAGCUGCGUCGCCGGAGCAAGCCUCUCCUAGUUGCUGCUGCCGUCGCUGGGUGUUGCAGGCGGCCAAGGGGAAGCAUAAGAGCGUCGUCGGGGUCGCGGCGGCGGCAUAAUCGGCGUCGGUGCCCCGGAUUCGUACAGCGGCGGCGGCGGCGGCAGAUCAACAAUUUAGGGCACUAAACCUCUUGCCUACUUGGGCAGCGGUAUUCCGACGACGAUGGGCAGCGGUAUUCCGGCAGGGGCGAGGUGCGGGAGGGACCGGCGGUGGACGGGCAGCGGAUUUUGGGCAGGGGCGCGGCCUACGGGCGGCGGAUUUGCGGCGGCGGCGGCGGAUUUGCACCGGCGGGGUCGAGGGCGGGAGAGGCUGGGAAAUUUUCGGGUGGCAGUUCGGCUGCGCGCGCGCGUCGUUGGGAAAAUAGGGCAGCCACACAAGUGUUGUAUAUUUGCAACAGUUGGACCAAAUUUAGGGCAGUGUUGUAAAAAAUAUAGGGCAGUUGAUGAAGAUAGGGCAGCUGUUGGAGCACGUUUUUGCCUCUUUUCUGCCCUAUAUGACAGUUUUUAUGCCCCACUGCCCUAUAUAGGGCAGCUGUUAGAGAUGCUCUAACACUCACAUAUGACGGUCACUAAACCUCUUGCCCACUUAGGUUGGCUCCCUGCUCAGCUUGCUCGUUUAGCUUUUUUUUCAGCUCGCUCGACUACUAGCUUAGAAAAAAAUACUGUCCUUUUUCUUAUUUAAAAAUGUUCUCUCUUCUGCUUCUUUCCCACGCCCCCUUGCAACCCUGUUCUUUCUUCUUCUUCUUCCCCAAGAAGAAAACAACGACCCUGUCAUGGAGAAAUCCUCAUUGAGACCGGCGGUGAGAGUGCUAAGCAUGAGCUCGUCGGAGAUUUUGGUGUCGAUGUCGCGAAGCUCAUCGGCGAGCAUCUUGAGCCGCAUGCAAUAGUCAACGAUGGUGGAGUCAUCCUGGUGGCACCUGAAGAGCUCUUGUUGCAAGAAAACAAGACACUGAAGCUUGUUAUCGGUGAAGAGCGCAUUGAUCUUGGUCCACACGGUGCAAGUAUCGUCGUCAUCGGUGACGACCGUGUGGAAGAUGUCCUUCAAGAUGGUUUGGUAGAACCACCGAAUGAGAGUGACCUCGAUGGCGGACCACUCCGGGACGCCCUUCAUGUACUCAGCGUCGACGAAGCCAUCUAUGUGUUCGGUGAGGUAGUACUCGCGGAAGACAAGGUUGAAGUAGGUCUUCCACGCGUAGUACGAGGAGGUGGAGGAGUCGAGGCGGAUGGGAACACGGGCAUCGAUGUUGAUGUCGCGGAUGGCUUCGACGAAGGGUGCAGGGCCGGCGAAGGGGUUGGUGCUGGAGGUGGCCGGCGAAUUCAUGGGGCCGGCUGCGGGGGAGAGAUGGCGAGCGGCGGCGGCGGCUCGGGUGGGAGAGGGGUAGCGGAAGCGAUGAGGCGUGCGGCAGCGGCGGCGGCUGCGAUAGGGUUUAGGUUAGGAACUUUUAGGAUGAUACCAUGUAGAGAGAGAUAUGUUUGGCAAUGCAACUCAUAAUAUUGAUUGAAUAUGCACAGAUAUACAGAAUACAAUAUGAACCUCUAUCUCAACUAUACAAAGGCUAGGAGAUAGACCAAACUAUGUACAUAUACACAUGCCCGACCCUAGGGGGGGGGGGGAGGNNNNNNNNNNNNNNNNNNNNNNNNNNNNNNNNNNNNNNNNNNNNNNNNNNNNNNNNNNNNNNNNNNNNNNNNNNNNNNNNNNNNNNNNNNNNNNNNNNNNNNNNNNNNNNNNNNNNNNNNNNNNNNNNNNNNNNNNNNNNNNNNNNNNNNNNNNNNNNNNNNNNNNNNNNNNNNNNNNNNNNNNNNNNNNNNNNNNNNNNNNNNNNNNNNNNNNNNNNNNNNNNNNNNNNNNNNNNNNNNNNNNNNNNNNNNNNNNNNNNNNNNNNNNNNNNNNNNNNGGGGGGGGGGGGAGGGGCGGCCGCCACGGGCCCCCGGAACCAGAGGGGCCCCCAACUCAGGUACGUGUGAGCGCCCCACCCCCAAUCUAUCGGAGACGCCACCAGAGCAGUUACAAAGUAGCUGCGGUAUGGCUCCGGGAAGAAGAAAGUCGAAACGGUAUUUCUUUUAGCUAAAUGGGCUUUGGGCCUUUGUUUCCUUUAGCUAAAUCGUGGUGUUAAGUGGUUGUGGGCUUCCUCUAAAAGAAGUAGUGGUGGGUUAUGUGUAAGAAAAAAUGAUGACGGGCCACACCAAGCUAGAGGAGGGAGAGGAGCACAUCGGUACAAAACUUAUAAAAGAAAGAAAAAAGAAGAUUGGUGAAUUCACAUGCCCACGUCUUGCCUGGUAUUACAACCCUGGCAAACUAAUAAGUUUUUCUUUUUUAUUGUAAAAUAAAUCUAUUUUUUUGCAAGUGUAGCAAACUAAUACUCUAUCUUGAUAAGAAAAAUAAACAUAUCAAAUUCAGUAUAUGUGCGGAGUCCCUAAAGAAAUGUAUCGUAGCGGAGAGACAAUAGCAACACGCACGGUGACGACGGACUGAUGACAUGAGCGUGCACUAUGGUCAUACUAUGAUAGCCAAAUAUGGAUGACUCAGUUGGUACUCUCGUCUUCAUAACUUUAUAUCAAUAAACACAAAUUGAAUUGAUUGUUCUACUUUGGUGUUAUGAAUUGAGAGUUGAUUGUUCUACUUUGGUGUUAUGAAUUGAGAGUUGAUUUUCUACUUUGGUGUGAAUAUUCAUAUGUGUCAUUUUAAUUGUUAUUUUUCUUCUUUAUAUUUUUGUAUAUAUGAACUUUUUUUUUCAUCUAUUAAGUUUUUUCAUUCAUAAAUUUAUUGUUUGCUCGGUCAUCAUGCUUGCGCGUAACUUGCCUGCAAAUGGGUAAAUGCAAUUUAGAUGAUCUUCUGUAUUCUGCUGCCUCAUUGUGACGACAAACUCUUGAUAUCAUGUGUGUCCCGGUCAGAAAUGACCCAUCACCGCCCUCAACGAGUCCUACCAAGAUGCGGUAUUGUGCACAUUAGCCCCCGCAUCGUCGUGAUCUUAUAGAACACAUGUGUCUGAUUCUCUUUCCAUAGAUAUCAUCGUUAAAGACCUUGUGUGCAAUCUUUUUGUGUGUGUGUGGUGGGGGGCUACCGGCCUUGCAUAUACAUGCAAACUACUUACUCCGUUUUUAAAUAUAAGUCUUUAAAGAGGUUUCAUGAAUGAACUACAUAUGGAUGUAUAUAGACAUAUUUUAGAGUGUAGAUUCACUUAUUUUGCUUCUAUAUGUAAACUCCUAAUGAAAUAUCUUAAAAGACUUAUAUUUAGGAACGGAGGGAGUAUAUGUUUAACAAGAUCAUUGGGCGCGGACCGCGGAGGUAGCGUAUUUCCACGAGCCAGCCGGUGACGACGAUGUAGAAGCUUCUUUCAGGGCCCCCCGUCCAUGCGCUGUGCAAGUACAAGUCUGACCGACGUGAGGCGCUGUACCAAACGAAGCGUAGCAAGUACAGCCAGAAUCAUCUGAAGCUUAGCAGCCAGCGGCCGCCGGCCGUUACCUGCAGCAUGCAUGUGACUGCACACUACGCCAAGAAGUCCGCGGCUAUAGACAACGCUCUGAAAAUAACUCUUUUGCACAGACGCGUGGAAUUCCGUGGUGGCCCGUCGGAUUUUCCCCCCGCAAAUAAAGAUCGCGCGCGCAACGUGGAACAGCUGGAUAGGGUAGCACGAGCCACGAACGGUGCAUCGUCAGCGCAUUUCCCUGCGCUGCACCCGAGCUGAGCAGCUAUAAAUUGAGCUGCAAGCCCAGCAGCUUCAUCACACAGGCGUCUUGCAUAGCUCUCCUUGCGCUAUACUACAUUUCACGAGCCGACUAGCUGAAGGUGAGUUAGCAUGGCGAGGCCUGCUGCCCUCGCGGUGUGCGCCGCCGCGCUCCUGCUCGCCGUGGCGGUGGGCGGCGCCGCGGCGCAGGGCGUGGGCUCGGUCAUCACGCGGUCGGUGUACGCGAGCAUGCUGCCCAACCGCGACAACUCGCUGUGCCCGGCCAGGGGGUUCUACACGUACGACGCCUUCAUCGCCGCAGCCAACACCUUUCCGGGCUUCGGCACCACCGGCAGCGCCGAUGACAUCAAGCGCGAGCUCGCCGCCUUCUUCGGCCAGACCUCCCACGAGACCACCGGUACGUCAGUCAGAGAGUGUUAAUUACUUGUUUUCGAUUGUUGCUUUCAACAGAAUUCGUGGAACUUUUGAUUCGGAUAUGAAGGGCUUGAUUGAAUCGUGUACGUGCUUGUGCAUGCCGUGUCGACGUGUAGGAGGGACGAGAGGCGCCGCCGACCAGUUCCAAUGGGGCUACUGCUUCAAGGAAGAGAUAAGCAAGGCCACGUCUCCACCCUACUAUGGACGGGGACCCAUCCAAUUGACAGGGUAAGCAAAAUCCCAUGUUAUGGCCUAUAUGGCUACAUGACAAUCUCUAAAGCAUCUUCCACAUGAAAAACAAGUAUAUUGGUCAACACUGAUAUCACAGACUGAAAUAAUCGGUAGAAAAAAUCUACUUGAAAAGUACAGCAGUGUAGUUGACAUUCUAGCUAGCCGCGCUAAUCCCGACCUGAUCCAAAUAAGCUUUCGCUUUCGCGUGCAAUAUACAGUUAUUAAUAACAAUAUAAAUACUACCAGGCUUCGGCGAUGAGAUUGUUCUGAUGAACCUAUAACUCUUCCUCGUGUGAUUGACCAGGCGGUCCAACUACGAUCUCGCCGGGAGAGCGAUCGGGAAGGACCUUGUGAGCAACCCGGAUCUGGUGUCCACGGACGCGGUGGUGUCCUUCAGGACGGCGAUGUGGUUCUGGAUGACGGCGCAGGGCAACAAGCCGUCGAGCCACAACGUCGCCCUACGCCGCUGGACGCCGACGGCCGCCGACACCGCUGCCGGUCGGGUUCCAGGCUACGGUGUAAUCACCAAUAUCAUCAACGGCGGGCUCGAGUGCGGCAUGGGCCGGAACGACGCCAACGUCGAUCGCAUCGGCUACUACACGCGCUACUGCGGCAUGCUCGGCACGGCCACCGGGGGCAACCUCGACUGCUACACCCAACGGAACUUCGCUAGCUAGAAGUAUCCACGUCUGACGCCCAUCACAGUGUAUGCACGUGUUACGAAUAAAUGGCAAUACCGUACAUAUGCCAUCGUGGAAUAAGGAAUUCAACAUUUCAUCUAGUUGAUGGUGUCGUGUGGUAAUACGAGAGUCGUCGUAACAGAUUAUGUAAAGUGUUCAAUAAAAUCAUGCUGUAUCAACUGUUUUGUUUUGUUGUACACAAGGCGAAUGUAUAACAGGGAGGCCGUUGUGAUAGCUGUUGUUGCAUGUCCAAACCAUUGCAUGAUUUAAAGAUUAAAAGAUAAACAUGACACAAAGGAUGUAACAUAUUUACUACUUCGAUCAAGCCAUUCUCUUUUUCCGAUAAGAGGAUAGCCGGUGUCCGCAUCACCAUGAUACACAUAAUCAUAUAAUUUGUUUAAGUAUAAACAUCUAAAAAAAUGUCUCAGUAGCAAAGAAAAAUAAAAAUGAUAGGACAAUAAAAAAGUUCUUCUCGACGCGAAUUUUUUUAGUCUGACUAAUGAAUUAGGAUUUCAUUAGCGUGAUUUACCUACCAUGAGAAAUUUGAGAGUUCCGACGAAUUUGAGAGUUCAAAUUCCGUUCGUUGUUGUGCUUAGUGCCAGCUGUCAACUGGAUCCUUUUCCUGACAACAAUCGUCAUGCCCGUAGGGGCAUUUAUGUCUUAUCAUGUUGGAUUGCCCUCGCUAUAAAUAGGCCCCCUCCCACAACCAUUAGUUGGUUGGCUGCUCCGAGAGAGAGAGAGAUCAACAAGUGUCAUCUAGAGCAACCCUUCCUUUGACAACUUUGAGAGAAUCCAAAGUGAGGAAAAACCCACAAACCAAGUGUUUCAAAGUGAUUGAGCAUCACUAAAUAAGUUGUCAUUUGUGCAACUGACACAUGCUACCUUUGAAGACUAUGUAUCUUCAAGACGGUUAGGUGUCAUGGUCUAGAGUAUCCAAGACCCAUUUUGAAUUGCCGGGUGACCAAGUCUAUGACUGAAGACUUACCACGAGUGAUUGGCCGGAUUUAAGUGACUUGAGUUUAAGGAGAAUACAGUGAAGACUUGGUGUCUUCUGGUUUCAGUUCCACGGGGCUCCAACCAGACGUACAACUGUCACGGCAGUUGGAAUUGGUAAGACAAAUCUUGUGUCUUCGGCGAGCAAUCUGGUUCUAUGUCCUCAAUGUUUUCAUUUCUUCAUUCUUACAUUGAUAAAAUUGCUUCCUGUUCUGUCAAGACUUUGUUAGGGCAUAUUUUGUUCUAAGUAGUUUUGGUGAUUGAUGACAACACCUCUGCAGACUAAUCGUGUGCAUUGAGCAUUUCAUAUAAUACUUCACAUGGCACAAGAUGUUUCGUCGCCCCUCGGUGUUGUUGGAGGACGAUGUUUCCUACGGUUCUCUUUGGUAGUGUUGAGUAGUAGGAAAGUCAUACUAUUAAGAGGGGGUCCGCGUCGGAAAGGUUUGGGUGGAAUCAACUCACACACGCGCUCAUUUUCUUUCCACCACCUUCUCUUUGCGGCAAUGGAGCACCUGCUUGGUCUAUCCUUGCAUUUGCAAAGGGUCCAGCGGUAGUACCGCUCAAGCUGAGCGGUAGUACCGCUCGCUAGCGGUAGUACCGCUCCAGAUGAGCGGUAGUACCGCUAGCUGAGCAGUAGUACCGCUCCAGUCGAGCGGUAGUACCUCUUAGGGACGGUAGUACCUCCCUCUCUGAGCGGUUGUACUUCGUCGGACUUUUUGCGAAUACUUUUCCAGUGGUGCUAGGAUCAGUAGUAGUAUUCCUACUACCGUGGCUUUGAGUCUGCCUAGCGGUAGUACCGCCCAGGUCUGGCGGUAGUACCGCUGGGGCUUGCGGUAGUACCGCUCCCUCCAGGCGGUAGUACCGCUAGGGACAGCGGUAGUACCGCUUCCCCCAAGCGGCAGUACCGCUAGGGGCGUGCUGACAGUGGGGGUAACGUUUGGACUUGUUCUCCCACUAUAUAAAGGGUUCACCUACCUCACGAACCCUACCUUUGACCCUCCAAACUCCAUUGUUGCUCCCUAAGCUCAUAUGUGCCCGAUCUCUCUCCCUAGCCAAUCAAACUUGUUGAUUUCCUAGGGAUUGGUUGAGAAGGCCAAGAUCUACACUUCCGCCAAGAGAAAAUUGAUUCCCCCACUAAUCCCUUGCGGAUCUUGUUACUCUUGGGUGUUUGAGCACCCUAGACGGUUGAGGUCACCUCGGAGCCACAUUCCAUUGUGGUGAAGCUCCGUGGUCUUGUUGGGAGCCUCCAAGCUUUGUGUGGAGAUAACCCCAACCUUGUUUGUAAAGGUUCAGUCGCCGCCUUCAAGGGCACCCAUAGUGGAAUCGCGGUACCUUGCAUUGUGUGAGGGCGUGAGGAGAAUACGGUGGCCCUAGUGGCUUAUUGGGGAGCAUUGUGCCUCCACACCGCUCCAACGGAGACGUACUUCCUGUCAAUGGGAAGGAACUUCGGUAACACAUCCUCAUCUUCAUCGGUUCCUCUUGCGGUUAUCUCUUACCUUUACAUUGUGUAUACUAUUGUUGAAGAGUAUUUCUUACUUGCUUUAGUGGUCAUAGUCGGUAGCAUCAUAUAGGUUGCUCACCUAGUUGUUAUUAUAGAGAACCUUUAUGGUGCUAACCCUAACUUGUUAAGAAAAGCUAAAAAUUGGUAGUUGCCUAUUCACCCCCCUCUAGUCAACCAUAUGGAUCCUUUCAAUUGGUAUCAGAGCCACGUAUCAGAGCCACGUCUCUUUAUUAAGGGUUUCACCACCCGAAGAGUAUGGAUGACGGUGAGGAGGGUGUCCAUGGACCACCCGAGGCCGUGGCCUUCAUUUCGGUCACAAGGGACGACUUGGAUGCGGCUAUGGCCAACCUCCGGACGACCUUGACGAACGAAUUCAAGACCAUGUUUAAAGAGUUGCUUGAGGGGAUUAAAAGUUCUCCCGAACCAGCGUUGGUGGUUAAAUCUGCCAACACGGAAUCGGAGGCAAAUUCCUCCAAGGAAGCGGCUAAAGGUAUGCAACCUUCUUCCCCUCUCGACAAUAAUGGGACUCGAACCUAUGCCUAUGUUCCACCUCCCCUGGUCUAUGGAGGACCGAUUCCUACAUUGAGUAUCAAUCAUCUUGGUCCUCUCCUAAGAUUGUUAAGGGUGAGUUUGCUAACUGGGUGUUUUGCAUUAAGUAUCAUUUGAUUCACAACUCAACAAACUUAUGGAGAAUCAUUGAGCAAGGUUACUAUCCGCAUGACCCAAGCAACCUCACUCCAAGAGAAGAAGCGGACAAUCAAUAUAAUCACCCUGCAUUAUUCAUUCUCCAGUCCGCAGUGCCUCCUGAAGAUCUUCCUCACUUACUGAAAGGACGUGGAUGUCGCCUAGAGGGNNNNNNNNNNNNNNNNNNNNNNNNNNNNNNNNNNNNNNNNNNNNNNNNNNNNNNNNNNNNNNNNNNNNNNNNNNNNNNNNNNNNNNNNNNNNNNNNNNNNNNNNNNNNNNNNNNNNNNNNNNNNNNNNNNNNNNNNNNNNNNNNNNNNNNNNNNNNNNNNNNNNNNNNNNNNNNNNNNNNNNNNNNNNNNNNNNNNNNNNNNNNNNNNNNNNNNNNNNNNNNNNNNNNNNNNNNNNNNNNNNNNNNNNNNNNNNNNNNNNNNNNNNNNNNNNNNNNNNNNNNNNNNCCUAGAGGGGGGGGGGGGCGGUCACCGAUACCCGUACAAAUUGCUCGGGGCAAUCUCCAUAACCUAAUUGGAGACCCCGACGCUUGGCCGGAGCUUUACACCACAAUAAUUGAGCUCCGAGACACCACCAAGCUUCUAGGGCGCCAAAGCAUCCAUGAAGAACAAUAUCUAGGGUACUAAGUACCAAAGAUAAUAAGCUUCUCAAACUUCACUUCCACGUAUCACCAUGGAGAACUCAAACGAUGCAACUAAUGCAAUGGUAAGGGCACACGGAGUGCCCAAGUCCUUCUCUCCCAAAUCCCACCAAAACAACUAAUUCUACGGAGGAGAAUGAGAGGAAGAACGAAGAAGAACAUGAAGAAUUCCAAGAUCUAGACCCAAGGGGUUCCCCUCACUUAGAGGAGAAAGUGAUUGGUGGAAAUGUGGAUCUAGAUCUUCUCUCUCUUUUCCCUCAAGAACUAGCAAGAAUAAUUGGAGGGAUUGAGAGUUAGAAAGCUCGAAGAAGGUCAACAAUGGCGGAAGAACACGAGCUAAAGAGAUAAGGUUUAAUGGGGAAGAGGACCCCCUUUUAUAGGUGGGGAAAAAUCCAACCGUUAAGCCUCACAACCCGCACACAGCGGUACUACCGCUCAUGGGAGCGGUACUACCGCUCGGUAGGUUCACCAACCAUGCUGAGGCCAAAAAGGAUGCAAAAAACAGUCCGACGGAGCGGUACUACCGUUCCUGGAGCUGUACUACCGCUAGGGAGCGGUAGUAAAAAAUUACUACCGCUCCGGGGGCGGUACUACCUCUUCGGGGGCGGUACUACCGCUACAGGAGCGGUACUACCGCUCGAUACUGAAACUGCUAUAACUUUCACAUGUGGACUCCAAAUUCAACGAAACCAAGUUUGUUGAAAAGAUAACGUCAUGGGCUAACACAAUCUUGAUAGAAAUAUCAAGAAGAAGCAAGUGAGAAAAGUCCCAUAAGACAAUGGUGAGAACCCUUCUUCGAAUAAGACCGGUAAAAACUCCCAACAUCGAAAACAUCAUAGAAGAUGCAUAUGGACUCCGUUUUCGAUGAACUCGAGCUUGUCAUGAAGAUGACCAUAAGCUCUAAAACUCACAAAGAGAAAUACCAAACAAGAACCAAAAAGUAUGAUGCAAGGAUGCAAAUGGUUUGAGCUCUCAACAAAUGAUAUGAUCAAGCUACUCACUUGAGAGCCCCCCUUGACAGUACGACAAUCUAUCAUAAAACAGAAAACCUACCAAGGGCAAACCUAUACCUUGCACCUCGUCCUCUUGAGCUAGAUGACGAGGAUCUUGGCUUCCUCAAGAUGGACCACCUUUCUUGCUUGCGUUGGCUUGAUGAAGACUAGUUGAUUGCUCCCCUAUACACACUAUGGGUGAGCCGCUCUUCAGCAUAUCUUCACAAGUCCAUUGCCACCAUCCUCCAUCACUUGACGUCAUCCUCCAUGGGUUGUAUGAGAUAUUACUCUUGCUUGCGUUGGCUUGAUGAAGACUAGUUGAUUGCUCCCCCAUACACACUAUGGGUGAGCCGCUCUUCAGCAUAUCUUCACAAGUCCAUUGCCACCAUCCUCCGUCACUUGACGUCAUCCUCCAUGGGUUGUAUGAGAUAUUCCUCUUGACGCAAGCCCAUGGAAACACACCUAACCCCACAUAUAAUUCUCAAUAAGACCAUGGGUUAGUACACAAAUACAUACUGGACAAUGCUUACCAUACCAUGGGAUCACUUGAUCCCUCUCAGUACAUCUUGUACGCUUUGUGUGUUGAUCAUCUUGAUUUACUCUUUGUCUGACGAUCUUGAUCAACCUUGUGUCUCCAUGACCAUUCUUUGGAUAAUACCUUGAAGACCACCUUGGUCAUCAUAUAAACUCCUUGAACCCAACAGAUGGACUUCAAGAAGUGCCUAUGGACAAAUCCUAUAAAUAUAACUUAAGGCAACCAUUAGUCCAUAGGAAUUGUCAUCAAUUACCAAAACCACAUAUGGAGAUAUAUGCUCUAACAAUCUCCCCCAUUUUGGUAAUUGAUGACAACCACUUCAAGAGAGUUUAUAUAAGUAAAUAAGCAUAACCAAGCGCACACAUACAAAGCAAUAAUGCAUGCGUGCGGGAUGUAAAUGCCUACGCAAUAAAAGCAAAACGCUCUAAACAUAUCCAAACUAAACUCUCUAAACUUCUCCCCCAUUGGCAUCGAUUGCCAAAAUGGACGAAAAGUUUAGAAAUUCAAUAUAGUAGGUGGUCCUCUAAAAAGUGUGUACUUCUCAGCAAAUGAGUGCAAAUAAAUACGCAAAUACAAUGAUAAGUAGUUGGAGGAAAACAAACUAUAUUGAGGACCCAAAUAUUGCAAAAAGAAGGAUCAUAUGGCACAAAGACAUACAAAAUAGAAGCAAGCAAUCAAAAGAUACCAUAUGGAACAAACAAACACAUGGUCCUUCGAACCACAUGAAUAAAAGAUACUAUGAUAAAGGCAAAGGAGUGUUUUUAUCAAAACUAGAGAAGCUCCCCGUGAUUUGUGCACUAAUAAGAGAUUUUUUAUUUGAUACAAGUGCACAAAAUAGGAUCGUUGCUCCCCUAAAAUUAAUAAACACACACAACGAGUGCAAGAAGAUAGAUGAGACAAUAAGCAUAUCACUUGCACAAAACAAAUGGUUGAGCAACAUGUAAAAGAAGCAACUUAAGAAUAGGCUCAACCAAAAUAAUGUGUGUGAGUCAUGGCAAAGCACUUGAGAUGACUAAGAUAAGGAUGAACAUUACUCAUCAACAUAGUCUUGAUGAAAUGAUAAACAAAGUGCAAGACAUAUCAUUCCCACACACACAUACUAGAAAAUGGGUUCACAAGCUUACUAAUAAAAAAAAA